AAACAGCUUUUCUAGCCAGAGAAACUUCUCAUGGAAGAUGACGGUGGACAGAGUUCAGCUCUCAGGAAGGAGAUCACCACACCCUAGUAGACUUCGGGACAGAGGUCCAUCCAUCAGCACACACUCAGAGCUGGGAAGUCUAGAAGCAAGGAAAGAAAAAUAAAUACACUCACAUGGCUUGAAAGUCCACGUGCUGAGCCUGGAAAAGCCACAGAGAGGGCAAAAUGU